rnacentral:rRNA from 1 species
UACGUAGGGUGCGAGCGUUGUCCGGAAUUAUUGGGCGUAAAGGGCUCGUAGGUGGUUUGUCGCGUUGUUCGUGAAAACUCACAGCUCAACUGUGGGCGUGCGGGCGAUACGGGCAGACUAGAGUACUGCAGGGGAGACUGGAAUUCCUGGUGUAGCGGUGGAAUGCGCAGAUAUCAGGAGGAACACCGGUGGCGAAGGCGGGUCUCUGGGCAGUAACUGACUCUGAGGAGCGAAAGCGUGGGGAGCGAACAGG